UACCAUUAGGGCUCCAGGGGAUAGGGAUUAUAGGUCGCGGGGCUUCGAUCGAUCGAUCUCUCCCAGGCAGGAAUCCUCAAGCUCCAAGAAGCCAUCCAAUCCGCCACGACGGCGACGACGGCGGCCUCCUCCUCGCUCGCUCGCCGCCUGAGCAGCAGCAGCAGCGUCCUCGCGCGUGGCGGCAUGGCGGCGCGGCAAUGGCUGCGCCAGAUGUCCUCGAUGAAGGUAAAGGACGUGCCCGGCUAUGUCAAGGAGAAUGUGACGCCCGCCAACAUCAAAAAGGCGUCGCGCACGCUCAUGGACGAGUACUACGACAAGUACAUCCAGACGAGCAGCUUCACGCCCGUCUAUCACUUCCUCAUCGGCGGCACCAUCUUUGCCUACAUUGUUGCCUAUCCCACUGAGAUUCGCCACUACCAGCAUGAAGAGGAGGAGCGCCUUCGCAAGCUCCGGGAGGGCGGUGGCGGUGGCAGCAAAGGCGGCCAUUGAUCUUCUAGCUCCUCCUCGAUUCAUCCAGUUCGCCCUGAUUGUGCUGAAAAAAACACCCAAAAAAAUGAAACAAGGAAGCAGCAGCUCUGAGGAAGGAAAGGACCUGGCCGUCUCUUUUUCUAGGAACACUGUCAUAAAACUCUUGCGUACGCUGGUGUGUGUGAGGUACCUGUCUCCUUUUUCUCUUCGCGAGGGAGGAUAUCUUUUUGGACCUUCCAGGAACUUUAUUCUUGUCUUUGAGAAACUCUGUUGUCUCUCACUUUUGUCAUGAAAUAACGGUGUUUCUAGGCGCC